rnacentral:rRNA from 1 species
AGUAACGGCGAGUGAACAGGCAAGAGCUCAGAUUUGAAAGCCUUUUUGGCAUUGUAUUCUGAAGUCAGUUUCCUGAGUAUCGGUGUUUAAGUCUUCUGGAAAGGAGCGCCAUGGAGGGUGAUAGCCCCGUACGACACCUCACUCAUUGUAGGAUUCUGACGUGGAGUCGAGUUGUUUGGGAAUGCAGCUCAAAAGGGUGGUAUGCUCCAUCUAAAGCUAAAUAUCUGUGAGAGACCGAUAGCGAACAAGUACUGUGAAGGAAAGAUGAAAAGAACUUUGAAAAGAGAGUGAAAAAGUACGUGAAAUUGUUGAAAUGGAAGGAUAUGCCGCUAACAAUGUAGAGCCGUGUUUGGGGGGAAGACAAAAGCUGAAGAAUGUAUCUCUUUUAGGGAAUUAUAACUUCAGUCAAUAUUCCCAUCC